GUACCCCAAACCGACACAGGUGGUCGGGUAGAGAAUACCAAGGCGCUUGAGAGAACUCGGGUGAAGGAACUAGGCAAAAUGGUACCGUAACUUCGGGAGAAGGUACGCUCUCGACGGUGAAGUCCCUCGCGGAUGGAGCUAUUGAGAGUCGCAGAUACCAGGUGGCUGCAACUGUUUAUUAAAAACACAGCACUGUGGUAGAUAGAGAAAACAAAGGCGCUUGAGAGAACUCGGGUAAAGGAACUAGACAAAAA
rnacentral:rRNA from 1 species